rnacentral:lncRNA from 1 species
UCGUGUCCCCUGAACCCCACCUCAUGGCCGGGCUGGCCAGCGACACUCACUGCGUUAUGGCUGGACUUGCCAGUGAGGAUGCUCCGGGCCUUCUUUUUGGUCAUGUUGAAGUUUUUCAGAUCCGAUCGCACUUCUCGUACUUGAGCUUCAUGCGGAUUGUCCGGCGGAAGAAGCCCUGCGGAAUCAAGGACGUUAUAGGGGCCCAUGCUCCCCUGAGGCCCAGUGGCACGUAAGGACACAAAAGGACCGAAAUCGGGGAGUAAUGGGGAACAUUUUUUUUAAAUACAUGGCUAAUUUUUUACUG